CCUACGGGAGGCAGCAGUGAGGAAUAUUGGUCAAUGGACGAGAGUCUGAACCAGCCAAGUAGCGUGAAGGAUGACUGCCCUAUGGGUUGUAAACUUCUUUUAUAAAGGAAUAAAACGAGGCACGUGUGCCUUUUUGCAUGUACUUUAUGAAUAAGGAUCGGCUAACUCCGUGCCAGCAGCCGCGGUAAUACGGAGGAUCCGAGCGUUAUCCGGAUUUAUUGGGUUUAAAGGGAGCGUAGAUGGGUUGUUAAGUCAGUUGUGAAAGUUUGCGGCUCAACCGUAAAAUUGCAAUUGAUACUGGCAGUCUUGAGUACAGUUGAGGUAGGCGGAAUUCGUGGUGUAGCGGUGAAAUGCUUAGAUAUCACGAAGAACCCCGAUUGCGAAGGCAGCUCACUAAACUGUGACUGACAUUGAUGCUCGAAAGUGUGGGUAUCAAACAGGAUUAGAUACCCCAGUAGUC
rnacentral:rRNA from 1 species